AGAGUUUGAUCCUGGCUCAGGAUGAACGCUGGCGGCGUGCCUAAUACAUGCAAGUCGAGCGAACAGACGAGGAGCUUGCCCCUCUGACGUUAGCGGCGGACGGGUGAGUAACACGUGGAUAACCUACCUAUAAGACUGGGAUAACUUCGGGAAACCGGAGCUAAUACCGGAUAAUAUAUUGAACCGCAUGGUUCAAUAGUGAAAGACGGUUUUGCUGUCACUUAUAGAUGGAUCCGCGCCGCAUUAGCUAGUUGGUAAGGUAACGGCUUACCAAGGCAACGAUGCGUAGCCGACCUGAGAGGGUGAUCGGCCACACUGGAACUGAGACACGGUCCAGACUCCUACGGGAGGCAGCAGUAGGGAAUCUUCCGCAAUGGGCGAAAGCCUGACGGAGCAACGCCGCGUGAGUGAUGAAGGUCUUCGGAUCGUAAAACUCUGUUAUUAGGGAAGAACAAAUGUGUAAGUAACUAUGCACGUCUUGACGGUACCUAAUCAGAAAGCCACGGCUAACUACGUGCCAGCAGCCGCGGUAAUACGUAGGUGGCAAGCGUUAUCCGGAAUUAUUGGGCGUAAAGCGCGCGUAGGCGGUUUUUUAAGUCUGAUGUGAAAGCCCACGGCUCAACCGUGGAGGGUCAUUGGAAACUGGAAAACUUGAGUGCAGAAGAGGAAAGUGGAAUUCCAUGUGUAGCGGUGAAAUGCGCAGAGAUAUGGAGGAACACCAGUGGCGAAAGGCGACUUUUCUGGUCUGUAACUGACGCUGAUGUGCGAAAGCGUGGGGAUCAAACAGGAUUUAGAUACCCUGGUAGUCCACGCCGUAAACGAUGAGUGCUAGGUGUUAGGGGUUUCCGCCCCUUAGUGCUGCAGCUAACGCAUAAGCACUCCGCCUGGGGAGUACGACCGCCAAGGUUGAAACUCAA
rnacentral:rRNA from 1 species